GCAGGAUGUUUGUUCCCAGUUUGUCUCUGCAGACCCUGCAGCUGGGAUCAGGGAUGUCCCCAGGGCAGGGACAGUGCUGUGAGGAGUGCAGGGCCCCACGUGCUCCCGGUGCCAGCCCCGAGGUGCCGCAGCAGCAGGCCCUGGCUGUCAGUGCCCACUGACAGCCCCGAGUGCCCUGGGGAUGCCAUCCACUGAGGACAGCCCUGUCACCCUCUGCCCUGCACCAUCUGCUUCCAGCCCAGCACAUCAGGCAGCACUCCCUGCCUCCCCAGCCAGCGGGGGAUUCCAGAGCAGUGAAAAGGAGAUGCUGAAUUUGCUCAGCGACUGUCCCCAGCAGGGCUGAGUGUCACCUCCAACGUGGGGCUGCCCUGAGAGCCACAGCAAGGACUGUGCCUGUCCUCCUGGGGGUCACAGGUAGGAUUGGUCCAACAGCCCAGGCAGGUGAUGAAGAGCCUGAUCCACACCUCUGGGAGAGCAGAGCCAAAAUCUGGGAGCUCAAACCCCCUUUGCCAGGAGAAGACACCAUGGCAAAGCAGGGCCCAGCUGAAUCAACACCCUGCCUCCAACAGGGACCUUCCAGCGUGUCCCAGCUCAGGAAUUGCCCCUCAUCCUCCAGGUGGGACCUCUCUCCAAGCCACAUCUCCCUGCAGGACCAGCAGCACCCUCACUGUGGGUCACCCUGUGCUGGAAUCCUGUGCUUGGGUGAGUUCUCAGCACCUGAGAGAUGCAGCUCAGCGAUCCAGAGCCUUGCUGGCACUGCUGGGAUUGCUGGGAGCCAUCCCUGCUCCUGCAGGGGUUGAGGCUCAGCAGCACUGAUGAAUGUGCACAGAUCUCUUUAAUGAAAUGCUGAAUGAUAGGCUGAAUAACUGAGCACCUUUAGCUUGAUUUAUUGCGUGGAAGUGAGGAAUGCCUGUCCCUGCUGUCAGCCAUCUUGGCUGCCAACAGAGGUCAGGAGCACUAAUUGUAGCUAAUUAACAUUAAUUAGACUGGGGAAAGACUGGGUCUGCUCUCCCCAGUGAUCCCCAUCCACCCCAGCCCUCCAGCACUCCCAUUCCCUGGGAGCAGGCUGCUCCUGGUAAUCCAAAUCCAUCUGAGAUCAUCAGCUCCUGCCUUUCCCACCUUUCUCACCCUGCUCAGAGCAGGAGGGUGAGACCUGCCCGGCCCCAUGUGCAGCUCCCUGCUCCCUUUGGAGUGUGUCCCAACCCUGGAGUGCCUGCUGGGGGACACCUGAGUCCAUCCACCCUCAGCAGCUCACCUUGGGCUCACAGGAGAUCCUGUCCAAGGGCACUGGGGCUGCUCGGGGCUCCCUCUGUAUUUGGACAGCCCACGAUCAUUAAUAAAGCAUCAAAGGCUCCUGAGGGGGAGAGUCUGAAACUUCCUCAAAAAACCACACGUAUAUU